rnacentral:rRNA from 1 species
CCUACGGGAGGCUGCAGUAGGGAAUAUUGGGCAAUGGGUGCAAGCCUGACCCAGCCAUGCCGCGUGCCGGACGAAGGCCCUCAGGGUUGUAAACGGCUUUUAACCGGGAAGAAGACCGGGGGUGCGCCCCCGGGUGACGGUACCGGCGGAAUAAGCACCGGCUAACUCCGUGCCAGCAGCCGCGGUAAUACGGAGGGUGCGAGCGUUGUCCGGAUUUAUUGGGUUUAAAGGGUGCGCAGGUGGCCCUGUAAGUCAGUGGUGAAAUGCGGCCGCUC